GGUCUAAUAGUGUAGAGGUUAGCACAUGGGAUUUUGAAACAAUUUUCCCAUAACCCAGGUUCGAGUCCUGGUUAGACCU
rfam:Gymnopus luxurians FD-317 M1 unplaced genomic scaffold GYMLTscaffold_22, whole genome shotgun sequence.